GCUGGGCGUGGUGGCACAUGCCUGUAAUCCCAGCAACUCUGGAGGCUGAGACAGGAGAAUCGUGAGUUCAAAGCCAGCCUCAGCAAAAGCGAGGCACUAAGCAGCCCUGUCUCUA
rnacentral:sRNA from 1 species